UCGAGCGAGAAAGUCCCCUUCGGGGGAUGAGUAAAGCGGCGAACGGGUGAGUAACACGUGAGCGAUCUGCCCGACGGCGGGGGAUAACUCAGGGAAACUUGAGCUAAUACCGCAUACAGCACCGGCUUGGAAGCCGGAUGUGAAAGCUGGCCUCUCGAAGAAGCUAGUACCAUCGGAUGAGCUCGCGGCCUAUCAGCUUGUUGGUGGGGUAACGGCCUACCAAGGCGAUGACGGGUAGCUGGCGUGAGAGCGUGGCCAGCCACACUGGGACUGAGACACGGCCCAGACUCCUACGGGAGGCAGCAGUGGGGAAUAUUGCGCAAUGGGCGAAAGCCUGACGCAGCGACGCCGCGUGGGGGAGGAAGGCCUCAGGGUUGUAAACCCCUGUCAGGUGGGACGAACCGCAGGUCGGCGAAUACCCGGUCUGUCUGACGGUACCACCAGAGGAAGCUCCGGCUAACUCCGUGCCAGCAGCCGCGGUAAUACGGAGGGAGCGAGCGUUGUUCGGAAUUACUGGGCGUAAAGCGCGCGUAGGCGGUCGAGUAAGUCGAGUGUGAAAUUCCGGGGCUCAACCCCGUGGACUGCACCCGAUACUGCACGACUCGAGAGAGGUAGGGGCGAGUAGAAUUCCCGGUGUAGCGGUGGAAUGCGUAGAUAUCGGGAAGAACAC
rnacentral:rRNA from 1 species